rnacentral:rRNA from 1 species
UACGGGGGAUGCAAGCGUUAUCCGGAAUCAUUGGGCGUAAAGCGCCUGUAGGUUGUUUAAUAAGUCUGUUGUUAAAGACUAGGGCUCAACCCUAGAAAAGCAAUGGAAACUACUAGACUAGAGUAUGGCAGGGGUAGAGGGAAUUUCUAGUGUAGCGGUGAAAUGCGUAGAUAUUAGAAAGAACACCGGUGGCGAAAGCGCUCUACUGGAUCAUUACUGACACUCAGGGGCGAAAGCUAGGGUAGCAAAAGGGAUUAGAUACCCCUGUAGUCCUAGCCGUAACGAUGGAUACUACAUGUUGCGUUUAUUAUGCAGUAUGGUAGCUAACGCGUUAAGUAUCCCGCCUGGGGAGUACGCUCGCAAGGGUG